CGCGCCGCGCCUGCGCGCUGGGAGCGAGGAAUUCCCGCCCUGCAGGCGAGCUGCGCGGACACCUAAAGGUGCUCUGGCGCUUCGAGAGUGGCAUUGCUGUUGGCUGUGUGGUGGAACUGCCUGAGGGUAAAGCGUGAACCAGAUCCCUCUUGGCAAGCAAGAUUGAGCCCUCAGAGGCAUCCUCAUUUCUACCUCCAGUUGGGUGUAUUUUUUUUGGAGAUGACUGUGAAGGAGCACGUCUGUGCCAGUGCACUGCUUGCUGAGCAAGUGUGGUGGUUUAAUUUUGCGUCCUGUGCAGAAGAGGCUGAUCAAGGCAGCAGCACGAUGUGGACUCCCUGCCUCCAGUUGCAGUGAUUCCAGGGGCAGCUCUCCAGAGCAGGCUGCCCUUUGUAGUAGAGUGGUGCAGAGCAACGUACCUUGUCCUGCUGUCCUGCUCUGCUGGGCUUCCUCUCUCUCCUGCUUGUGCCAACCCAAGGGCUCUGAGGAACUGCUGCUCGAAAUGGCGUCUGUUGCACUGAAGACGAUGUGGUCUCUCAAUUCCCUUGCAGCCCACAAAGCUGCAUGGUGUCUGAGCCUUGAAGAGAACAGCUUUUCUUCUGAGUGGAGGCCUUUUCAGGGGUCAUCUCUCUUUUUUUCAGAGUUUCUUCUGUGUACAUGACUCCGUGAGACUUAGUGACUGAUUCUGAAAUACCGAGCGAGGAGAGGGAACAGCACGCACCUCUGCUGCAAUGCCCAGGGGAUGCACCCACAUGCACUGCUGGUUGUUCUGGCCUUCCUUUGCUUGAUCUUGGACCUCUAGAAAGAACAAAAGCCUCGUCAAGUGAGUGGAAAAGGAACGCAUGUAACAUUUUUUUUUUUCUCAAAGAGAAAAGCCAGGGAAAAAAUUGACACAAGCUUUUGAGAAAGCUUGUUUAGUGCUCAGUGUGCUUCCCCCAGGUGAUCUUCCUUUCAUGAGAGGGAUGGGAUAAACAGUACAGCAAGUUGAGCUGCUAUGUGAAGCACCUAAACCUGGCUGCAGCUAUGGAAAUCCCCAUGUGUGAAACAGACAAGGCUCAGAGAACUUCUUGGAGGUGCUGCUGCACAGAGGUGUACAGGUACAGCAUUCUGGAUCAUCGCAUCAUCCAUAGUCCUCUACUACCACGGGCAGAGGUGAGUACUGCCACUUAACAGAGAAGAGAACUAUUUGGUAAUAAAAGUAUCACUCAGAGAUCACAUUCUCUCUCUGAUUCAUCUUAAAGUGAACUCAGGGGUA